GACGAACGCUGGCGGCGUGCUUAACACAUGCAAGUCGAACGGAAAGGCCCUGCUUUUGUUGGGUGCUCGAGUGGCGAACGGGUGAGUAACACGUGAGUAACCUGCCCUUGACUUUGGGAUAACUUCAGGAAACUGGGGCUAAUACCGGAGAUGAGCUCCUGCUGCAUGGUGGGGGUUGGAAAGUGUCGGCGGUUGGGGAUGGACUCGCGGCUUAUGAGCUUGUUGGUGGGGUAGUGGCUUACCAAGGCUUAGACGGGUAGCCGGCCUGAGAGGGUGACCGGCCACAGUGGGACUGAGAUACGGCCCAGACGCCAACGGGAGGCAGCAGUGGGGAACAUGGCACAAUGAGCGGAAGCCUGAUGCAGCAACGCCGCGUGCGGGAUGACGGCCUUCGGGUUGUAAACCGCUGUCGCCUGUGACGAAGCGUGAGUGACGGUAAUGGGUAAAGAAGCACCGGCUAACUACGUG
rnacentral:rRNA from 1 species